UGUGAGCUCGAUGAGUAGGGCGGGACACGUGGUAUCCUGUCUGAAUAUGGGGGGACCAUCCUCCAAGGCUAAAUACUCCUGACUGACCGAUAGUGAACCAGUACCGUGAGGGAAAGGCGAAAAGAACCCCGGCGAGGGGAGUGAAAAAGAACCUGAAACCGUGUACGUACAAGCAGUGGGAGCACGCUUAGGCGUGUGACUGCGUACCUUUUGUAUAAUGGGUCAGCGACUUAUAUUCUGUAGCAAGGUUAACCGAAUAGGGGAGCCGAAGGGAAACCGAGUCUUAACUGGGCGUUAAGUUGCAGGGUAUAGACCCGAAACCCGGUGAUCUAGCCAUGGGCAGGUUGAAGGUUGGGUAACACUAACUGGAGGACCGAACCGACUAAUGUUGAAAAAUUAGCGGAUGACUUGUGGCUGGGGGUGAAAGGCCAAUCAAACCGGGAGAUAGCUGGUUCUCCCCGAAAGCUAUUUAGGUAGCGCCUCGUGAAUUCAUCUCCGGGGGUAGAGCACUGUUUCGGCAAGGGGGUCAUCCCGACUUACCAACCCGAUGCAAACUGCGAAUACCGGAGAAUGUUAUCACGGGAGACACACGGCGGGUGCUAACGUCCGUCGUGAAGAGGGAAACAACCCAGACCGCCAGCUAAGGUCCCAAAGUCAUGGUUAAGUGGGAAACGAUGUGGGAAGGCCCAGACAGCCAGGAUGUUGGCUUAGAAGCAGCCAUCAUUUAAAGAAAGCGUAAUAGCUCACUGGUCGAGUCGGCCUGCGCGGAAGAUGUAACGGGGCUAAACCAUGCACCGAAGCUGCGGCAGCGACGCUGAUGCGUUGUUGGGUAGGGGAGCGUUCUGUAAGCCUGUGAAGGUGUGCUGUGAGGCAUGCUGGAGGUAUCAGAAGUGCGAAUGCUGACAUAAGUAACGAUAAAGCGGGUGAAAAGCCCGCUCGCCGGAAGACCAAGGGUUCCUGUCCAACGUUAAUCGGGGCAGGGUGAGUCGACCCCUAAGGCGAGGCCGAAAGGCGUAGUCGAUGGGAAACAGGUUAAUAUUCCUGUACUUGGUGUUACUGCGAAGGGGGGACGGAGAAGGCUAUGUUGGCCGGGCGACGGUUGUCCCGGUUUAAGCGUGUAGGCUGGUUUUCCAGGCAAAUCCGGAAAAUCAAGGCUGAGGCGUGAUGACGAGGCACUACGGUGCUGAAGCAACAAAUGCCCUGCUUCCAGGAAAAGCCUCUAAGCAUCAGGUAACAUCAAAUCGUACCCCAAACCGACACAGGUGGUCAGGUAGAGAAUACCAAGGCGCUUGAGAGAACUCGGGUGAAGGAACUAGGCAAAAUGGUGCCGUAACUUCGGGAGAAGGCACGCUGAUAUGUAGGUGAAGCGACUUGCUCGUGGAGCUGAAAUCAGUCGAAGAUACCAGCUGGCUGCAACUGUUUAUUAAAAACACAGCACUGUGCAAACACGAAAGUGGACGUAUACGGUGUGACGCCUGCCCGGUGCCGGAAGGUUAAUUGAUGGGGUCAGCGCAAGCGAAGCUCUUGAUCGAAGCCCCGGUAAACGGCGGCCGUAACUAUAACGGUCCUAAGGUAGCGAAAUUCCUUGUCGGGUAAGUUCCGACCUGCACGAAUGGCGUAAUGAUGGCCAGGCUGUCUCCACCCGAGACUCAGUGAAAUUGAACUCGCUGUGAAGAUGCAGUGUACCCGCGGCAAGACGGAAAGACCCCGUGAACCUUUACUAUAGCUUGACACUGAACAUUGAGCCUUGAUGUGUAGGAUAGGUGGGAGGCUUUGAAGUGUGGACGCCAGUCUGCAUGGAGCCGACCUUGAAAUACCACCCUUUAAUGUUUGAUGUUCUAACGUUGACCCGUAAUCCGGGUUGCGGACAGUGUCUGGUGGGUAGUUUGACUGGGGCGGUCUCCUCCUAAAGAGUAACGGAGGAGCACGAAGGUUGGCUAAUCCUGGUCGGACAUCAGGAGGUUAGUGCAAUGGCAUAAGCCAGCUUGACUGCGAGCGUGACGGCGCGAGCAGGUGCGAAAGCAGGUCAUAGUGAUCCGGUGGUUCUGAAUGGAAGGGCCAUCGCUCAACGGAUAAAAGGUACUCCGGGGAUAACAGGCUGAUACCGCCCAAGAGUUCAUAUCGACGGCGGUGUUUGGCACCUCGAUGUCGGCUCAUCACAUCCUGGGGCUGAAGUAGGUCCCAAGGGUAUGGCUGUUCGCCAUUUAAAGUGGUACGCGAGCUGGGUUUAGAACGUCGUGAGACAGUUCGGUCCCUAUCUGCCGUGGGCGCUGGAGAACUGAGGGGGGCUGCUCCUAGUACGAGAGGACCGGAGUGGACGCAUCACUGGUGUUCGGGUUGUCAUGCCAAUGGCACUGCCCGGUAGCUAAAUGCGGAAGAGAUAAGUGCUGAAAGCAUCUAAGCACGAAACUUGCCCCGAGAUGAGUUCUCCCUGACUCCUUGAGAGUCCUGAAGGAACGUUGAAGACGACGACGUUGAUAGGCCGGGUGUGUAAGCGCAGCGAUGCGUUGAGCUAACCGGUACUAAUGAACCGUGAGGCUUAACNNN
rnacentral:rRNA from 1 species